AGGACGAACGCUGGCGGCGUGCUUAACACAUGCAAGUCGAACGAGGUACUUGUACCUAGUGGCGAACGGGUGAGUAACACGUGAGCAACCUGUCCCGAAGACUGGGAUAAGCGAGGGAAACUUCGUCUAAUACCGGAUGCCCUCUUUGCGUCAUAUGGCGUGCUGAGGAAAUGAACUUCGCUUCGGGAGGGGCUCGCGGCCUAUCAGCUUGUUGGUGAGGUAACGGCUCACCAAGGCGUCGACGGGUAGCUGGUCUGAGAGGAUGAUCAGCCACACUGGGACUGAGACACGGCCCAGACUCCUACGGGAGGCAGCAGUGGGGAAUCUUGCGCAAUGGGCGAAAGCCUGACGCAGCAACGCCGCGUGAGGGAUGAAGGCUCUCGGGUUGUAAACCUCUUUCAGCAGGAACGAAUUGACGGUACCUGCAGAGAAGCUCCGGCCAACUACGCGCCAGCAGCCGC
rnacentral:rRNA from 1 species